GGAGGCAUGGUCGAGUGGUUUAAGACACUCUCCUGCUAAGAGAGGAGGUUGGCAAAAACCAGCCUCGAGGGUUCGAAUCCCUCUGCCUCCGCCA
rnacentral:tRNA from 1 species